AUUGAUGACUCUAGAGACAGUGACUCCUCUGUUUAUCCACAGAGCAGGUACCACACAGGCAAUGGCAAUGCACGUUUCACCCCACAUGACUGUUCCCCCUUCCCUGUUACCAAUGGGCUUCAGAUCUGACCUUUAGGGACCAUUUUUAAGGAUGAGAAGAGAAGUGCAAUUUCCCAAUCCACUAAAUCCUUGGACUCC
rnacentral:sRNA from 1 species